AGUGAACGCUGGCGGCGUGCCUAAUACAUGCAAGUCGAACGGAGUGGCGCACGGGUGAGUAAUGUAUAGCUAAUCUGCCCUACACUAGCGCACAACAGUUGGAAACGGCUGCUAAUACUCUAUAGUGUAGGAUGAGGCUAUAUUGUAUCAGCUAGUUGGUGAGGUAAUGGCUCACCAAGGCGAUGACGCAUAACUGGUCUUAGAGGAUGAUCAGUCAACCUGUAAGUGAGGCACGGGCGGGACUCAUACGGGAGGUAGGAGUAGGGAAUAGUGGCCAAUGGGGGAAAGCCUGAAGCAGCUACGCGGCGUGGAGGAUGACACGUGACGGAGCGUAAACGCCUUUUGUUAGGGAAGCGGUACCUAACGAAGAAGCACCGGCUAACUCCGUGCCAGCCGCCGCGGUAAUAC
rnacentral:rRNA from 1 species